AUCGGGCAGCCGCCUCCGCUUCGGCGGGGGAGGAAAGUCCGAACUCCGCAGGGCAGGGUGCCGGAUAACACCCGGGCGUCGCAAGGCGACGGAAAGUGCAGCAGAAAACACACCGCCCCGCCCCAGGCGGGGUAAGGGUGAAAAGGUGCGGUAAGAGCGCACCGGCAGUCUGGCAACAGGCUGGCCUGGCAAACCCCACCCGGAGCAAGACCAUGUAGGAGCGCCGUCAGACGAGCUGCGCGGCCCGCGCAGUAUCCCGCCCCGCGGGAUCGGCACUCGGGUAGGUCGCGUGAAUUCCGCGGCGACGCGGAAUCCAGAUAGAUGGCUGCCUCUUCCGCAUUGGCGGAACAGACAGAAUUCGGCUUACAGAUGGGCUCG
rnacentral:RNase_P_RNA from 1 species